AAUAAUAUUAUUUAUAAUUAAAUAAAUAAUGUAUCACUAAUAUAACUUACAAGAUCACCAAACUAUUUUGCAAAUUUUCUCUUAUGUCGAUCAUCAGCAUCCAUAUUAUUCUUUCUAUAUAGUAUACUCUUGUGCUCACUACAACAAGUUAUGAAUUUUAAUUUUACAUCAAAAUAAAAAAUUUACUUAAAAUAUUAAACAGUAUGCUAAGAUGGUACUUACUCAAUAAAAUCUUCAAUUUCUUUAUAAUUAUUUAGAAUGUAAAAGUAUACCUUGGAUAGCUCGUUCACGUCCACAAAUUCAUAUCUUCUUACACCAAU
rnacentral:lncRNA from 1 species